AGAGUUUGAUCCUGGCUCAGGAUGAACGCUGGCGGCGUGCUUAACACAUGCAAGUCGAACGAAGCGCUUUCGAUUGAAUCUUCGGAGGAAAUAGGAAGUGACUGAGUGGCGGACGGGUGAGUAACGCGUGGGUAACCUGCCUCAUACAGGGGGAUAACAGUUAGAAAUGGCUGCUAAUACCGCAUAAGCAUACAGCACCGCAUGGUGCAGUGUGAAAAACUCCGGUGGUAUGAGAUGGACCCGCGUCUGAUUAGGUAGUUGGUGGGGUAACGGCCUACCAAGCCGACGAUCAGUAGCCGACCUGAGAGGGUGACCGGCCACAUUGGGACUGAGACACGGCCCAAACUCCUACGGGAGGCAGCAGUGGGGAAUAUUGCACAAUGGGGGAAACCCUGAUGCAGCGACGCCGCGUGAAGGAAGAAGUAUUUCGGUAUGUAAACUUCUAUCAGCAGGGAAGAAAAUGACGGUACCUGACUAAGAAGCCCCGGCUAACUCCGUGCCAGCAGCCGCGGUAAUACGGAGGAUCCGAGCGUUAUCCGGAUUUAUUGGGUUUAAAGGGAGCGUAGAUGGGUUGUUAAGUCAGUUGUGAAAGUUUGCGGCUCAACCGUAAAAUUGCAAUUGAUACUGGCAGUCUUGAGUACAGUUGAGGUAGGCGGAAUUCGUGGUGUAGCGGUGAAAUGCUUAGAUAUCACGAAGAACUCCGAUUGCGAAGGCAGCUUACUAACCUGUAACUGACAUUGAUGCUCGAAAGUGUGGGUAUCAAACAGGAUUAGAUACCCUGGUAGUCCACACGGUAAACGAUGAGUACUAGGUGUCGGAGGUUACCCCCUUCGGUGCCGCAGCUAACGCAUUAAGUACUCCGCCUGGGGAGUACGCACGCAAGUGUGAAACUCAAAGGAAUUGACGGGGACCCGCACAAGUAGCGGAGCAUGUGGUUUAAUUCGAAGCAACGCGAAGAACCUUACCUAGGCUUGACAUCCUUCUGACCGAGGACUAAUCUCCUCUUUCCCUCCGGGGACAGAAGUGACAGGUGGUGCAUGGUUGUCGUCAGCUCGUGUCGUGAGAUGUUGGGUUAAGUCCCGCAACGAGCGCAACCCUUGUCUUUAGUUGCCAUCAUUAAGUUGGGCACUCUAGAGAGACUGCCAGGGAUAACCUGGAGGAAGGUGGGGAUGACGUCAAAUCAUCAUGCCCCUUAUGCCUAGGGCUACACACGUGCUACAAUGGGUAGUACAGAGAGUCGCUAACCCGCGAGGGCAAGCUAAUCUCAUAAAACUAUUCUUAGUUCGGAUUGUACUCUGCAACUCGAGUACAUGAAGUUGGAAUCGCUAGUAAUCGCAAAUCAGCUAUGUUGCGGUGAAUACGUUCUCGGGUCUUGUACACACCGCCCGUCA
rnacentral:rRNA from 1 species